GAACUCCACACACACAAAGCUAUAAAAUAAAACAACAACACUUUAUUUGCUAAGGGGAGAGGAAGGAAUGGAAAGGGGAAUGGAUUAAUGAUUCUGGAGAUUCGGAAUAACACACAGGCACUUAUAAUACAAGAUGUUCUAUCUUUACAGACAUCAGCGAUAAAGGGGUGCAGGAUCCAGAAAAGAGAAGCCAGUAGUGAACACUGACCGUGGACAACAGAUGAAACAGACAGACGAACUAUUGCAAGAAGGUGUGGAUACAACAGUACAUUGAGAGCCGAGAAGGAAGGACUGUGCUGGAGUACUAAUUCUGAACAUGGCACUAGGUCUUUCAUGAACCCAAGGAGCUGAUAUAUUUCCAGAAACCCACCCCAUGGUACAUGCUCAGAUGGGAAGGGCUUGAACCACCCAACUAGAAGCAGAACACAGACAGAUGUUUUCCUCAGGUGCUACCCCAGACGAUACUGCCAGGACCGCAAUUCAUUGUGCAGCUUGUGCU